rnacentral:tRNA from 1 species
GCCGCUAUGGUGAAAUCGGUAAACCCGCUGCUU